rnacentral:misc_RNA from 1 species
CAGCAAUCACCUAAGUCAGGUGGGAGCACAGAUAGCUAUGGGAAUUCAUCAUUCAAAGUUGAAAAUGAGUCGAGUUUGAUAGUAGAUUGUGCAAUUUUAUGGGAAGACAUAAGCCUAAAGGAGGAAAUUGGACGAGGUUCAUAUGGUGUUGUGUAUCAUGGAAUCUGGAAUGCGUCGGAUGUUGCUGUUAAGGUUUACUUUGGGAAUCAAUGCAGUGAGGAAACAUUGCUCGAGUACAAAAAGGAGGUUGAAAUAAUGAAAAGACUCAGGCAUCCUAACGUGUUGCUAUUCAUGGGGGCUGUGUAUUCUCAAGAAAAAUCUGCCAUCAUCACAGAGUUUUUACCCAGGGGAAGUCUUUUCAAAACACUCCAUGGAAAUAAUCAUUUAUUAGACUUCAGACGGCGUCUUAGGAUGGCCCUCGAUGUGGCAAGAGGUAUGAAUUAUUUGCAUCGCCGGAACCCACCUAUUG